CCCAAUGUAUUCUGGUUAUAACGAUGGUAACGUUAGUACGAUUGGAAACAUUUAAGACAUUACGAUCAAUUGAAUAGAUAAAUGGUUUGAUGAUACAAUUGAACGGUUGAUAAUUAGAGGUGUUUUAAAAUGGGGAAAGGAAAGGAAACCUGAAAAUUAAAGAUCAGAAUCAUUAAUUGAUACUUAAUUGUUGUGUUCAACAUUGAAAAUGAGGAAUCAAAAAUUAUAUUUUUGAAGAUGUUCUGCUUUAUACUUUUACUGUUGUUAAAUUGUUCAAUUAUCAACUGCACAUCUUUGGUGGGAUCAAGAGCUUCAGGUCACAGUGAUACCAAUAGGAUUAUUCAUGCAUCUUUAACGGACAAGGACACUGGCCACGUUUGGCAAAUGCAAGAAUGGGUUUACUCAGGAAGUCCAAGGGCUGGACGAAUCGAAAUAAAAUCAGAUGAAAAUGAAGCCAAUGUCUUCUAUUCGUA